rfam:Procavia capensis cont1.540145, whole genome shotgun sequence.
ACCUUUCUGGACAAAGUCUACAGUCAGUGCCUGUGAAACUCCCCUUUACAACAGCUGACUACAGCUGGGUAAAGACGUUUUUCUCCUUUGCUCUCUCUUCUCAUACAGUCAGCUGGUCAGUUUCCUCAGAUGUACAUCACCUGUUAUAAUUUCACCCGUGUUGCUACUCUGUUGGGGAAAGCCCCAGGGCUUAUCAACUGGUACAGGCCUCAUUCCUAGACAUCUC